CUCAUCUUAAACAACAAAUAGUGUUUAAGCGACUUACGCACGAGGUUAAUUUCGCUGCUUCAGUAAUUAUAAAUGCUGAAUUUCGUCGGAUCACAACCCUUCCUUUACAGUCCAAAUUCCUGUCCCAACUGAAUCGGUUCUCUGAUGAUCUCCUAAAAGUGUGUACCAAAAGGGUGGAGUGUUUAGAAAAAGGAUUCAGGAUGUGAUGGUGCCAAUGUCUCAGAAUGCCACCAUAGAGACCAAGCGAGAGUGCAUUCUCAAGCGGCUGUGCAUCUACCUGAAUGAAGAUCCACAGGAUGCGGUGAGGGAGU
ensembl:lncRNA